CUUGCUUCUCUUGAGAGCGGCGGACGGGUGAGUAAUGCCUAGGAAUCUGCCUGGUAGUGGGGGAUAACGUUCGGAAACGGACGCUAAUACCGCAUACGUCCUACGGGAGAAAGCAGGGGACCUUCGGGCCUUGCGCUAUCAGAUGAGCCUAGGUCGGAUUAGCUAGUUGGUGGGGUAAUGGCUCACCAAGGCGACGAUCCGUAACUGGUCUGAGAGGGUGAUCAGUCACACUGGAACUGAGACACGGUCCAGACUCCUACGGGAGGCAGCAGUGGGGAAUAUUGGACAAUGGGCGAAAGCCUGAUCCAGCCAUGCCGCGUGUGUGAAGAAGGUCUUCGGAUUGUAAAGCACUUUAAGUUGGGAGGAAGGGUUGUAGAUUAAUACUCUGCAAUUUUGACGUUACCGACAGAAUAAGCACCGGCUAACUCUGUGCCAGCAGCCGCGGUAAUACAGAGGGUGCAAGCGUUAAUCGGAAUUACUG
rnacentral:rRNA from 1 species